AAAAAAAGCUUCUGUUGUUUGUGGCACAUGUGGGGCAGCUUGAUUGCUCUAUCUGGGGAACUGACAUCAAGAGAUUUCAGAAGCAUGAUUUUUGGUACCGAGGUAGCUAGUGAUCGUUGGUCCUGGCACCCGC